CUACUGUUGAAGAGUCACAAACUGGGACGAAACAGCUGUCCAGUAC
rnacentral:hammerhead_ribozyme from 1 species